rnacentral:rRNA from 1 species
AGCGAACGCUGGCGGCAGGCUUAACACAUGCAAGUCGAACGCCCUGGCAACAGGGAGUGGCAGACGGGUGAGUAACGCGUGGGAACGUGCCCUUCGGUUCGGAAUAACUCAGGGAAACUUGAGCUAAUACCGGAUACGUGCGAGAGCAGAAAGAUUUAUCGCCGAAGGAUCGGCCCGCGUCCGAUUAGCAAGUUGGUGAGGUAAUGGCUCACCAAGGCGACGAUCGGUAGCUGGUCUGAGAGGAUGAUCAGCCACACUGGGACUGAGACACGGCCCAGACUCCUACGGGAGGCAGCAGUGGGGAAUAUUGGACAAUGGGCGCAAGCCUGAUCCAGCCAUGCCGCGUGAGUGAUGAAGGCCCUAGGGUUGUAAAGCUCUUUCGCCAGGGACGAUAAUGACGGUACCUGGAUAAGAAGCCCCGGCUAACUUCGUGCCAGCCGCCGCAGUAA